GAGCGAGACCGGAAGCUGCGGAGACCCGGGAAGACCGCCACGCCCUCCCACAAGAGGGCGUCUGCGUCACACCAGCUGUGAGGUCCUGGGCAAGUCAUAAAGCUCUUUGUGCCUCAGUUUCCAUAUCUGAAAAAUGAGGAUAAUAAUAGUGUCUACUUUAUUUGACUGGCCUGGGGAUUUAAGGAGGUAAUACCGGAAAGUGUUUAAAGCAAUUUCUAGCACAAAGGAAACACAGCAAUUGUGAGCAAUUCUUAUGUCUUUGGCCGUGACUGGUGGACUCCGGGCCUCAGCCCCAGUGGCAAAUGUCGUGCUGCCCUGUUGUGCUGUUCUUUAAUAUUGUGCCUGGCUGGUGCUGGGUGCAGCGGAUCCUGGGUGCCUGCUUCUUGCAGAACCUGGAGAGAACAGCGAGGACUGGACUUACCGGCUGACCCAGCAAAUUGGGACCGUGCACGUGAAUCCAAGUGGGAAUGUGUGGAAGUUCUUUGUGUUUGACUGUGAGCAUCCGUAUGUGUUCUCCUUGGAGGUUCACCCACCAGAAAACUGGGAUCAGCAGGAAGAACUUGCACACGCGCCUGGAGGAAUCCAGAACCACUGUUACUCUUGGAGUCGCAUCUCUGAUGUCUUCGGCGAUUUCCAAGAAGGAGACAACUCCUCAGUGAGAGUUCCUGGCUGGGAGGGCGGCUGGCAGUGCGAUGCCAGUAAGGGCCGGGCUGGCAGCGUGUGUGAAAUUCUGGUGCUAGGGAGCUGCCGGGAUUUGUGCUCCUACAUCAUUAAGACCAAAGGAGCUGAAGAAGAAAAGAGAGAUGGUCUUCAUUAAAGAUGAUCACAGUCAUCACACCUCACUGUCACCACGGACAAUCUGCAGGAGGAUGAUGCUGACAUACACUGGUGUGCCGUAGAAAAAUGCUUGAGGGAACUGGGGGGCCCAGUGGAAAUCAUGGUGGCUUCAGGCUUCUUUCUCCAGUGUCCAUGGACCUCUGGAGUCCACCUGGAGUUGUCCUGCUUCCUGGUUCAUCGGACAUGACUGGGCGCGUCUGAAUGCCAGCUCCGGACAGUCUGAGCUGGGACACCUGAUACGUUUGUAUGAAGUGGUGGUCUGGUGACUAAUGUCAAGAUGACCUAUUUCUGCGGGGCAACUAGUGUCUCAAACUAGUUCUGGAGGUCUGCUUGGAGGUCCUUAUGUCUUCUCACAUGGUUUUGGAAGGUAAUUAUCAGCCGAAUGCUGAGCCCUGCCUCUGGUUGCCAGGUAGACGGACAUUCAUCCAUCCAUCCACUCAUUGAUUCAUCUGUUCACACAGCACACAUUUACUGAGCAGCUAUUAUGAGCCAGUCACUGUACUAAGUGCUGGGAAUAUUAAGGUGAAUUCUGGAGGGGUUUCUAGUCUUAUUGGAGAGGGGAACAUAACCUCACCCCCGUUUCUGGUUGGGUUCAGUGAACGGGCAGUAGGGGGUAGGAGGGCAGGAAGAAAGAAAGCUGCCUCCCUGCCGGGUUGGGAGUGUCUGCACCUCCCCACCAAGGGCCUCAGCCCCUGCCAGGUAUUCCUUUCCCUCAGCCCCUGCUGGUGGUCUUCCCCUUCAGCCCUCCUGGGUAGUCUUUCCCUCAGCCCUGAUGGAUGGUCGCUCCCUCAACUGCUGCUGGCUGGUCUCUCUUAAGGCUCAUGUCAGGUUCUGGUUAUUGCCCCCCUCCAUCCCUUA
ensembl:lncRNA